AUUGAACGCUGGCGGCAGGCCUAACACAUGCAAGUCGAACGAGCGGCGGACGGGUGAGUAAUGUAUGGGGAACUGCCUGAUGGAGGGGGAUAACUACUGGAAACGGUAGCUAAUACCGCAUACCAUCGGAUGUACCCAGAUGGGAUUAGCUAGUAGGUGGGGUAACGGCUCACCUAGGCGACGAUCCCUAGCUGGUCUGAGAGGAUGACCAGCCACACUGGAACUGAGACACGGCCCAGACUCCUACGGGAGGCAGCAGUGGGGAAUAUUGCACAAUGGGCGCAAGCCUGAUGCAGCCAUGCCGCGUGUAUGAAGAAGGCCUUAGGGUUGUAAAGUACUUUCAGCGGGGAGGCGUUACCCGCAGAAGAAGCACCGGCUAACUCCGUGCCAGCAGCCGCGGUAAUUC
rnacentral:rRNA from 1 species